rnacentral:lncRNA from 1 species
GAUGUGCCUGGCCUAGGUCACUACAACCCUGCUUGGACAAAUUCACUCAUUUGAUUUUGCUACUCUUGCUCUAAAGCCUGUGCUUUUCUAACUACAACACUUUUCAUUCUAUAAGCUCAUAGAACACAUUAAGAAUGUCUAGAGGGAUGCCCUCUUUUCCACUCAUUCUGCAUCCCAAAUGCAUCCGGUUUCUUAGGUUCCCCCCAAAUAAAAGAAUGGGCACACACAGCCAAGAUGGGCCAUUCCUGUGUAUGGUUUUGCCCAUAAACUUGCCUGCUCUCCUCCCCCAGGCCCCUUGUCUGUUUGUAUUCAAAGGAGAAUGCUCAUUUAUUUCCGUCUCACUUUUUUUCUUCCUGUUCUUGGAGCUCCAUUCCGAAUUCUGUUUAUACCAUUGCUAGAGAUGUUCCUAAGCAGCAAGCACCCAGACUCUAAAUUAUACCUUCCUGUGAAGUCUUACCACCCAGAAGACCACUUCAUAAGGGAACAAAGGAAGAUAAAGAGAGGAGGAAAGUAUUUUAUUAUCCCAUCAAUUCUGCCUUCUGAUAAAAAAGCUGAAGACUCAAGAGAUGGAGCACAGUGUCGGUAUAAAGCAGAGCUAGCCCCCAAACUCACGUCUCUUUGACUCCAGUGCAGACACAGGAUUGCAUCCUAACUUGGCAAUGAGAGAUAAAAUUAUAAGGCCUCCACCAACGUCCCCCAGAACACACAUGUGUAAUUUCCUACAUUUUGUUUAUCACCAAAUCUCAUACAUUGAAGAAAAACAAAAGAGCCCCAUUGCAAGGAACAAAAGACCAGGCAGCGCAUCUUUCUGCAUCAUUUUUACGUGCAAUUAGGAAGUCCCUGGGUAAAUGCACCUGUGAGAGCAGAACCUGGAAUCAGUGGAACCCAGCUCAGGUUCAGAUCUGUACUACUCGCACCUCUGUACCCCUCCACAGAGGAAUAGUAUAUCCAAUGUCCUCUGAGAAGUGGUGAGGUUUCUUGAGGAUUGAGUUCCUGUGACCUUAGCAUCUAGAACAGAGCUGGGCACAUCAAUAAUAUUUGAAUAAAGGAUUAAUGUUCCCUGUCA